ensembl:lncRNA
GCUCGUAGAUGGGCGUUGAGAGCCAGGCUGCAGCCACAUAAUGGUCUGGACUGCGAUUGGAGAGAGCAAGUGCGCACGGACGCAGACGCAGGAGAUAUCGGAGGCAGGCACCGAACAGAACAGAGCUCAUCAUAGUAUCUGAUUUAACUGUAUUUGGGAAUCAAUUCAGAUUAUAAAGAAAAAACGUUCCAAUUGAGAAACGGAAGAAGGAGUGAAAAUGGGACAUACAGUGUUACCCAUUUUGAUGGCCGUAUUGUCCCAUUGCAUGUGGGGAAAUGUCGAGCCUGUGCCACCCACCACCGAGCUGUGCCAAUGCGUCAGAGGUGACUUCCAGGGACCACUAGACCCAGACGCCCCCUUCACCCAGCCCCCAGACGCCUUCAGCCCCACAGCUAAUGAGGGAGGCCAGGCUCCCUGUGGGGGAUCUGGAGUGGAGGGGAGGUAUAAAAUGGCAGAAGGGCGUGCUGGGUGGAAAGCAGGGGAGAGUGGGGCGUGAGCAGUGACUCAUGGAGCCUCAGCUGGAGUACAGUGCAGGUCAAGCUUACUUCCCACCUGGGAAUAGAAGUGUGAGUUGUUCCCUCUCUUUGUUACUGUUGCAUUGUAAGGGCGUAGGUAGACUAGAGGAACUAGUCUUAGAACUAGCUCACAUGCAUAAUCUGUCACUCUAUCUAUCUACACAUCGAUCUUUCUAUCUAUUUAUUGUAUCUAUUCAUAUACUGUCUACCAACUGUACAUUAUGCCCUUGGAAGGUAUUAGAAAUCCCAAUCUCCAGUCAGUAGAAAGCAUGUAAUCAUCAUAGUGGGGUGUGUAAGGAUUCAUUCUGAAGAUGUUAAGAGGAUUAUCAUGUGUAUUUAUUAACCAUCGGCGCUGGUUGCUCACAGUGCGUUUUAUUAGCCAUAAACCUGUUCCUUUCAUUGUGGAAUUAUUCCACUGCUGUAAGAGCAUUACUGGGAUUACUGCUGUAUGCUGAGGAACCAUGCUUAGGUUUACAAAAGGAGACCCGCAGAUAUGUGAAGGUUUACAGUCCAGAUUACAGUUUGAAGAGGGCUGGCUUGUUGGCUUAACACCCUGGUAUUAGCUGUGUUAAAGAUGGUUCUUGAAUUUUGCCACCAUUUCCGUGGUAAACGUUGAAAUUGGGCAAUUUUGCGUUGCUACGGCCUGAUCUUUUCCACUUAAUGCAUUGCUGGUAGAUGGCACUACUCUAUUUUUUUAUAGUCUAAUAAUGCCUUUGUAAAUGUGAUGGAGGCAAACUGUUGUCUGUAUCAUGUAAUGGCUUUAGGGUGCAGUACAAAUGGUGUUUGUUUACAGAGAACGAAAUGUAAGAGAACGAAGGCAUUAGAGUUUCAAAGCACAAGGGCAAAGUCAACAUUUACCUAUCUGAAACACAACCAUUAUGCAAUGUGUACUUCUGCUCUCUGUCCUUGUUCUCCAUUUUGAUUGCUAUUCACAUACUGUGUAUGAUGUUCUUACUGUGUAUUGUGUUAAAAGCAGGGAACAGUGCAUUGUAGAAUACAUUUUCUUCACUUCAGUGUCCAUGAAGCUGACACAGUAGCGUGACACUCCUAGCAUGAUACUUUGACAGUUUAUCUAUACUGUCCUAUGUGCCUUAACCGCAGCCAUCAUCUUUAACCAAUCAGAGUAUCAAGGACAAUGCUGAAUUUUCAAAAUGUUGCUUUACCCACCUGUGUUUUGUCUCUGGCCCAACCCUGGAUUGCUGUUGCUAUGUAUUGGCCAUUGAGAGGCUUUGAAGUCACCUGUCUGCCAUAUUGGCACUCCCCAGUAGGAGCAGUCCUC